UACGUAGGGUGCAAGCGUUAAUCGGAAUUACUGGGCGUAAAGCGUGCGCGGGCGGUUUUGUAAGUUUGUCGUGAAAUCCCCGGGCUCAACCUGGGAAUGGCGAUGAAGACUGCAAGGCUAGAAUCUGGCAGAGGGGGGUAGAAUUCCACGUGUAGCAGUGAAAUGCGUAGAGAUGUGGAGGAACACCGAUGGCGAAGGCAGCCCCCUGGGUCAAGAUUGACGCUCAUGCACGAAAGCGUGGGGAGCAAACAGG
rnacentral:rRNA from 1 species